rnacentral:lncRNA from 1 species
UGUUGUCGUUUGUUUAUGUGUUACAUAUUUGUUUUUCGUUCAUUUUUUUAAUAUAAAUAAGGCCGUUAGUUUUCUCGUUUAAAUUGUUUUACAUUGUCUUAUCGGGGCCUUUUAUAGCUGACUAUGCGGUAUGGGCUUUGCUCAUUGUUGAAGGCCGUACAGUGACCUAUAGUUGUUAAUGUCUGUGUCAUUUUGGUCUCUUGUGGACAGUUGUCUCAUUGGCAAUCAUACCACAUCUUCUUUUUUAGAUUGUCAUUAAAAUAGUUA